CAAGGUUUCAUGGUUUUCCCACGUUCUUUGGCUAUUAAUUUAAUUUCCCAGGUCACGUAGACAAUCAUUGAUAAUUGAAACAAGUCCUGAGUUGAAAUAACCUUGAGUUGAGCAAAAAUAUCCUCAUUUUGGCAGAAGCUGGGCUUGGUAGUACAGUAAAAUUUUAGUGUAAUGUGCUCUUGUAAUUGAAAGGGGAUAGAUAAUCUGGAUGUUUCUGCAAAGGAAAAUAGGUGUGUACUUAACAGCUUUGGCUCUACCCAGUUUCUUAAAAAGAUAAGAGCAAAAAAAGUUAAAUGUUUUGAUUAAGUUUCCUUUAAAUUGUAGUAAUAAAAUAUAUGAAGCUCCUUUUUUUACUUUGCUCUGUGACUGGUUUAAAGGUAAGUUUGUUAUGUUGUUGGUAGAUUUUGCCAGGCUUCUCCCAACAGAGUAGAAGUGAUUUGGCCUCGUAACUUAACACUGGUUUACCACUUUGUUCUAUGUUCCAGUUUUGUAAAGGAUAGUACUGGAAUUUGCGUCUGAAGACCAAUCUUGGUGUGACUCCUGUCAGUAUAUUGGUAAAAUGUAGCAGAGGCAGGAGUUUGGAUGGUUGGAUGGGAUUCCCUUAGGAUUCUACAGCCAAUAAAGAUCCUACUUCCCAUGCAUGUUCCAGGAAUCAGUAAUCCUCUUUUACUCUGUUGGGAUGAGUCUUUUUUUGUUUCUGUUCAGAGUGGUUACUAACUUCACCUUCUUUCCUCUUGCUGUCAUCUGCAUUCGUGCUUCCCACCUGUUGUUGGCAUGUCCUUUACCUUCUCUUUCCCUGCCACAUCAACCUACACACUGACUCAUCAUUGACGUGGAAGAUGUGGAAGAUGUCAAGUUUGUGAUCAACUAUGACUAUCCAAACAGCUCUGAGGAUUAUGUGCACCGUAUUGGCCGAACAGCCCGUAGCACCAACAAGGGUACCGCCUAUACCUUCUUCACCCCAGGGAACCUAAAACAGGCCAGAGAGCUUAUCAAAGUGCUGGAAGAGGCCAAUCAGGCUAUCAAUCCAAAACUGAUGCAGCUUGUGGACCACAGAGGAGGCGGCGGAGGCGGGGGUAAGGGUGGUCGUUCUCGUUACCGGACCACUUCUUCAGCCAACAAUCCCAAUCUGAUGUAUCAGGAUGAGUGUGACCGAAGGCUUCGAGGAGUCAAGGAUGGUGGCCGGAGAGACUCUGCAAGCUAUCGGGAUCGUAGUGAAACCGAUAGAGCUGGUUAUGCUAAUGGCAGUGGCUAUGGAAGUCCAAAUUCUGCCUUUGGAGCACAAGCAGGCCAAUACACCUAUGGUCAAGGCACCUAUGGGGCAGCUGCUUAUGGCACCAGUAGCUAUACAGCUCAAGAAUAUGGGGCUGGCACUUAUGGAGCUAGUAGCACCACCUCAACUGGGAGAAGUUCACAGAGCUCUAGCCAGCAGUUUAGUGGGAUAGGCCGGUCUGGGCAGCAGCCACAGCCACUGAUGUCACAACAGUUUGCACAGCCUCCAGGAGCUACCAAUAUGAUAGGUUACAUGGGGCAGACUGCCUACCAGUACCCUCCUCCUCCUCCCCCUCCUCCUCCUUCACGUAAAUGAAACCACUCAAGUGGUAGUGACUCCAGCAGACUUAAUUACAUUUUAAGGAACACUUGUCUUUCCCUUUUUUUUCUCUUCCCCUUUUCUUUUUUUUUCCUUUUUUCUUUUUUUUUUCCUUUUUUUCUUUUUUUAAAAAUUUCCUCCCCCAACCAUCGUGAUUUGUCUUUUCAUGCAGAUUAGUUAGAAUUCACUGCCAGGUUUCUUCUGCCCACCAAAACGAUCCAGUCUGUAAUAACAUUUUGUAAAAAAAAAAAAAAAUAUAUAUAUAUAUAUAUAUA
rnacentral:sRNA from 1 species